ACGGGUGAGUAAUGUCUGGGAAACUGCCCGAUGGAGGGGGAUAACUACUGGAAACGGUAGCUAAUACCGCAUAACGUCUUCGGACCAAAGUGGGGGACCUUCGGGCCUCACACCAUCGGAUGUGCCCAGAUGGGAUUAGCUAGUAGGUGGGGUAACGGCUCACCUAGGCGACGAUCCCUAGCUGGUCUGAGAGGAUGACCAGCCACACUGGAACUGAGACACGGUCCAGACUCCUACGGGAGGCAGCAGUGGGGAAUAUUGCACAAUGGGCGCAAGCCUGAUGCAGCCAUGCCGCGUGUAUGAAGAAGGCCUUCGGGUUGUAAAGUACUUUCAGCGGGGAGGAAGGCGAUGUGGUUAAUAACCGCGUCGAUUGACGUUACCCGCAGAAGAAGCACCGGCUAACUCCGUGCCAGCAGCCGCGGUAAUACGGAGGGUGCAAGCGUUAAUCGGAAUUACUGGGCGUAAAGCGCACGCAGGCGGUCUGUCAAGUCGGAUGUGAAAUCCCCGGGCUUAACCUGGGAACUGCAUUCGAAACUGGCAGGCUUGAGUCUCGUAGAGGGGGGUAGAAUUCCAGGUGUAGCGGUG
rnacentral:rRNA from 1 species